CGUAGAAUUUGGACGUUUAAAUUUGACAAACCUGACAGAAAGAAGAAGACUUACUGGAACAUCAGUAGAAACUACAAUCAGACGAGGUUUAUCGGGAACUGGAACUUCUCAAGUUGUUGAAGAAGAAAUUGGAUUAUGGCCGUUGUGUCGUUUGGCAGGAUUAUACUUAAGUGCACUAUUUCCAGAUACAUACAUAAAAGAGCUUCGUAUUGACCCCGCUAAUAAUACUUGUGACCUGGAUGAUGGAACUACGACAAAAAGAUUUCAAAAAUUGAAUAACGUAUGGUGGCAACUAUUUCCAAUUGUUCGAGAAACUGUAUAAUUUAGACCACGAAACAAUGGUAUAUCUUCUAAAAUGAUAUUAUACUAUUUUUAUUUUAUUGUAAUAAUAUUUUCAUAUUGCACUAAUGUAUUAUUUCUUACUGCACUAAUAGCUGUAAACUAAUUUUACAUAUAUCAUAAUUUUAUGUAUAACAGUUUUAAUUUACAA